UCCUGUGCUAAAAUUCCGGGAGAUGGAAGAUGAGUGAAAUUGAUAUCUUUCAUUUCUGGGUCAUCUCCUUAAAUACUUGCUCUGUACUCUCCCCUGUCCCUUAUUCUGUGGGCUAUCACACAGAUGUGGUAGAGACCCAGGUUCGGUAACGCUGAAGAGCAUGACAUCAGUGAAUGGUAAUGCAGCAGAAAGGAAGGAACUUGCGUCCUUUAAUGACCUAGAGGAGUCAAUCUACUUCACCACCUGGAUCGGCGGGACUGUAAUGUGAGAAACACAUUUCUAUCUAUAUAAGCCAUUACAUUUGGGGUUUUUGUUGUUGUUGUUAUUAUAGCAUCUUAGUCUCUACCCCACCUAAUGCAGGGUUUUACCUUUUUUUUUUCAAGAAAAAAAAAUGGCUUCACUUGUGAAAAUUGCCUGCAGGACUUAGGGGACAAACAGAUUUUUGAAGACAAAAGUCUGAUGGGUCAAGCUGAACUCUGAAUAUUCAUUAUCAUUCCAAGGGCUUUCCAUUGCUCCUCACUUGAUAACGGGAGAAGCCAAGAUGGCAGAACAGCAUGGAAGCUGUUUGUGUGUCUCACGUCCAUGAAAUACAGCCAGACCAACACUAAACUCUCCUACACACCUAGAAAACCGACUGGAAGAUUAACACAACAAUCUGCACAACCUGAACCACAGAAUUCAGCAGUACGCGACAAGGAGAGCUGAACUUGGGGAGCAAGAAGCCCCGAAAGAUCCUACCUGGAUUCCAAACAUUACCUAAUGGCUCUUCACGCAAGCUAUGGGUAACAUGGGAAUUAGCUGUCAUGAUGCUACCAGCAAAAGACUGUGGACUUGUCCCAUCCAUUGGUAAACUGCUGGCAUCUUCCUUGAUUGAAGGUGAAUCUGGAGUAACUGUUCUUUUGGUAAAUGCUGGAAAGGCAAGAGAAAAGACAAAAAUAAACCUAAAUGAAUAAAAUCCUUGGGCUGACAAAAUUAUGAGGGAAUCAAGAAACAAGUGAUUUGCUAAAUGUUGUAUAAGCGGCAUUUUAUAUGCGGAACUCAAGUCCUCACACUCAAAAUUUCUAUUUUUGUUCAUAUUUUUAAAAAGAGUGUUUAAUUCACAAGCCAAAUCCUGUUGGCAAGACACUUCCUAAGGGAUCCAAACUAACAAAACGGAAACGCUGAAAAGAAAAAUGCAGCAAGGUAUCAACAUUUUGUCUAAAAAGCUGUAAGUACGCCCUUCAACAUGUUGACUUAUCCAGAAAAGCCGGUUUAAAGGUAUGUGUCAUUUCCUAACCUAGAGGGAGUACCCAGUAACUUUCCUCAUUACCUGCUUUUCACUAGGGGUGUGACAAGUCCCUGAUAGAAUCAGAAACAGGAUUUACGAACAGAGUCAAAAUAUGUGCUCCACAUCUCUGAUCUAUUCUCUCAUCUACUACCAAUGAUAGAGAUGGGAGGCAGCCAGCUGUUCUGUAGGUUUCCUGGGCAACACUCUGGUUGCAUUUUUGGUUUGCGAUCUUGAGAGGUGAUCACUGACCCUUAUACUUUGGCACUGUUUGUAUCACUGUUUGACCUUGUUCAGAGAAGUUGGAGAUUGCGCCUACACCAAAGUGGGAUGUGUGCAUGUGUCUGUGUGGUGGGGAAGAGGAAGAUAUGGAAAAUGGAGCUGUGGUGAUUUAUUUUGACAGAUUUCACACUGGAAAAUGCAGCCUGAGAGGCGAAGUAGGGUUUUGCUUGAAAUCCCUGUAAACACUUCCAGUCAGUUGUGUAACACUAACACCAAAACCUCUCAGAUUUACCCUUUGUGUUUCAGAUCGCAGAUCAAAGCAAUGAGGUUUCCUUUUUUUUUCCCCUUUAAAAUGAAGAAUCGAAUUAAGAUUCCUCUUUAACAUACAAUGUGGUUCACAGGUGGCUAGAGGUUAAGACUACAAACCAAAUAGAGGGCAGAAGACACAGAACUGUCUUUCUCCCAGAACUGUGCAAUUCCACGGUGAGUCUGCUGAUAAUGGGUAACAAGAGCUCAGUGAAUGACAUCUGGACUGGGGAACAACUAAAAAUUACUUGCAGAUAAUAUAAAGGCUAUGAUGGUGGCUAGGGGCAAUGCAAAUGACAACCAAUGUAAUUUCAAAGACUGUCCCCUCAAAAGAGAUGCACACACAGAAGUUGAGUAGUAGAGGGAGAAAACCAGCAACCCAGAAACCAACACACUGUAUUUCCCCCCCAAAGAUUUACAUUUAAAAAAGUAAAGUACAUGUCUCCAGUGGCGAGGUUAGUCAUAUAUCAGCUGAAUAUGCUCUGAACUCUUAUGCAAAUCAUACUGCAGUAGUGAUUAUGGCAUAAUUUAUGAGUAGGUUUGUGUCAGGAAGAAUUUGUGGGAAACAGUAAGGUAUGCUUUUUCUUUCAGAGUGUGUAUUUGACUGUCACCAAACAUAGCUGGCCUAAUGAGACUCCCUGAGGCUGCCAUCUCCUUUGAUUCCCUCAAGGGCACACAUCCUCUGGGAUUCCAGGUGAAGAAUAUUCACAAAGAAACCCACAUGGAACCCACUGUCCCAAGCUCCUUCUUCCUGAAUAUUUCAACCCUAGCACUCGAUGGUUGACUAUCACUCAGGUCACAAACUGAGCCAUGAAAUGGUACAAGCAAACAGUCCACCUUCGGAAUUAAAUUGCUUACCUUUGAGCAAUUCCAAUAAUCCUCAUCUCAAUUUACAUGCAGUCAUUUAUUCAAGUGUUUCAGGAAUUAAAGCACCAGGAACCUAUGGCUGUCUCACCCUCAUUCCCAUACUCCUUCCGUGGGCUUCUGUACAGUUACCUCUCACUGUUCUAUACUAAAGAGAGAGGGUGCUGAUAAAGAUAAUCAGACAUAAGCAGAUGGUUUCAAAAUAAUGUAUUUGGCUGACACGAGUAAGGUUUUCCUUGCUUCCUAUUCCAUUUGACUAAGAUCAAAACUAUUAUUAAUCUCCAUUUCCUGAUAUACAAGCACAGGUAGGAAGGGAAAGGUAGUUAAAGGAUUUAAAAUUAGCCUCAGAUUAUCUGUACUCUGACCAUCAAUGGUGCACUGUUCUUAGUAUCCAAGAAAACCGAGGAAAAACCCCAACAACUUAGUUUCUAGUUACACUUCUGAGAUGCAUACCUGAAGGCUGACUUAACCUGCAUGUCCUAAAAUAAAGCAGACGUAUUUUGACUAUUCAGUUCCAAAUAUCCUAAAUAUUCCUACCUAUGAAAUACUUAACUGCUUUUUCUUCAAAUUGAGCUUCAUUCUGAUUUUUCAUUGCAGUCUGACUAGCAUCUUCCCAAGAUGGAAUUUUAAACAGUUGCUUUGGCUGUUUGAGAGAGAUGUGAGUAAAGAAAAAAAGUUGGAAAGCUCUAUUAUCUUAAAACAUUCGAAAGCACUAUCAAUAGUCAUAGCUAUAAAGAUAACACUAAUACGACUAUAAUAAUUUUUAAUGAAUUUUUAAUUUCUGCAUUUAGAAAAUUAUGUCACACUGUGCUCUUAAAAUGUUUCCCCAAAUAAUUCCUAACUCAACUUACAUGCACAAAUUUUAGGGAAAUCAUUACUUGAAGUUGAAAACAGUUUAUUCUUCAGGAUUAUAGAGCUCAAGUAUCCUCAGACUGUCUUGCUUUCACAUCAAACAUCGUUAGAUGUAACUAAUCCUAAACUCCAAAGUCUACAAUGGGAAGGAAUAAAUAAGGUGGGAGUUUGCUAGCAGGCACACCUGGGCAACUUUAGUCAGUAAUGAAAGCUACUUUUAACACUUACAACUUACUUGUUGACAAUGGACCACUGAUACAGUGUGAUUUUCGGAGUUCAGGAAGGUCUGAUCACUCAAAAUUAUGCUUUUCUCCCAUUUGCAAAAUUAUUAGAAAUUCUACCAAUAGAAAUUUAUUCUUUGCCUCCCCCAAUCUAGUUCA